rnacentral:rRNA from 1 species
UACAGAGGGUGCAAGCGUUGCUCGGAUUUACUGGGCGUAAAGCGUACGCAGACGGUGAGAAAGGUCGGAUGUGAAAGCCCCGGGCUCAACCCAGGAAGUGCAUUCGAAACUGCCGAGCUGGAGUCCUGGAGAGGAAGGCGGAAUUCUCGGUGUAGAGGUGAAAUUCGUAGAUAUCGAGAGGAACACCGGUGGCGAAGGCGGCCCUCUGGACAGUGACUGACGCUGAGACGCGAAAGCGUGGGGAGCAAACAGG